UACAGAGGUCCCAAGCGUUGUUCGGAUUCAUUGGCGUAAAGGGUGCGUAGGCGGCGCGGUAAGUCGGGUGUGAAAUCUCGGGGCUUAACUCCGAAACUGCAUUCGAUACUGCCGUGCUUGAGGACUGGAGAGGAGACUGGAAUUUACGGUGUAGCGGUGAAAUGCGUAGAUAUCGUAAGGAAGACCAGUGGCGAAGGCGGGUCUCUGGGCCGAUACUGACGCCUGAGGAGCGAAAGCGUGGGGAGCGAACAGG
rnacentral:rRNA from 1 species